GAGCAUGGCUCAGGAUGAACGCUAGCUACAGGCUUAACACAUGCAAGUCGAGGGGCAGCAUGGUCUUAGCUUGCUAAGGCCGAUGGCGACCGGCGCACGGGUGAGUAACACGUAUCCAACCUGCCGUCUACUCUUGGACAGCCUUCUGAAAGGAAGAUUAAUACAAGAUGGCAUCAUGAGUCCGCAUGUUCACAUGGUUAAAGGUAUUCCGGUAGACGAUGGGGA
rnacentral:rRNA from 1 species